UUCCGGUUGAUCCCGCCGGACCCGACUGCUAUCAGAGUGGGACUAAGCCAUGCGAGUCGACGUAGCAAUGCGUGGCGAACGGCUCAGUAACACGUAGUCAACAUGCCCAGGGGACGUGGAUAACCUCGGGAAACUGAGAAUAAACCACGAUAGGUCACGAUUUCUGGAAUGGAUCAUGGCAUAAAUCUACAUGGCCCCUGGAUUGGACUGCGGCCGAUCAGGCAGUUGGUGAGGUAAUGGCCCACCAAACCUAUAACCGGUACGGGCUCUGAGAGGAGAAGCCCGGAGAUGGGCACUGAGACAAGGGCCCAGGCCCUAUGGGGCGCAGCAGGCGCGAAACCUCUGCAAUAGGCGAAAGCCUGACAGGGUUACUCUGAGUGAUUUCCGCUAAGGGGAUCUUUUGGCACCCCUAAAAAUGGUGCAGAAUAAGGGGUGGGCAAGUCUGGUGUCAGCCGCCGCGGUAAUACCAGCACCCCGAGUGGUCGGGACGAUUAUUGGGCCUAAAGCAUCCGUAGCCGGUUCUGCAAGUCUUCCGUUAAAUCCAGCCGCUCAACGGAUGGGCCGCGGAGGAUACUAUAGGACUAGGAGGCGGGAGAGGCAAGCGGUACUCAGUGGGUAGGGGUAAAAUCCUUUGAUCCAUUGAAGACCACCAGUGGCGAAGGCGGCUUGCCAGAACGCGCUCGACGGUGAGGGAUGAAAGCUGGGGGAGCAAACCGGAUUAGAUACCUGGGUAGUCCCAG
rnacentral:rRNA from 1 species